GGAAGGGAACGCCCGCUUCCCCAGGACGGGGCGCCGCGCCCGCACCUCCCGCCGGCCCUGGCCGGCCCGAGGUGGGGCUCACGCGGGUCUGUCACCCUGCAGGCCCCAAGUGGCAGGGUUCGGUGGGAACCAGAGUAAAAUGGAAUAAAGUACAGAUGAAAGAAAGAAAGAGAGCUGUGGGUGGAGGGAGGCAGAGGGGAAGCAGCGCGUGGAGGAGUCCGGGAGCCGGGGGGCUUAGGAAGGGGAUUCAGCCCGGCCCUCAGGCCCUGCGAAUCAGGAAGGAAGCGGGAGGUAAAUCAAACACCUCUCCACCUGCCAUCCGCUUUCAAAGAGCAGCUGCUGGGAGAUGCUUUCACCUCCCAGGAGAGAGCACAGUUUUCCUGCUCCGGGGAUGACGUUGCUUAAAUAAAACGCCUCCAGCCCCCCGCUUUGCUGCUACCCCUGGGAAAGCCGUGCCCAGCUCCUCGGAGCAUAACAGCCUUGGAAAGACACUUUAUAAGAAACAGUAUACAGGCCUGCAAUGUAGCUCGAGACUUGAAAAAGGAACACAUCGCCACUACCUGGUCUCUUCAGCUCGAAAGGAACCAGAGACGGCCUGCUGAAGGACCACGCUAGCCUCUGCAGUACCCCAGUCGGUGGUCACCCGGAAUCCUUCAGCAACGCUCUCUGCAGCGUGCAACAGCUAUGAUGCGCUUCCAGCAAUUCGGCUUUCUUCACGGUGAAUGAGACUGAUUUGUGGUCACAGCUGUAGCAGACUCCGGACAGGUAAUCUGCAUGUUGGCCUGGAACAUCUUACACCCUUCACGCUGCUGGGCUUCAGGGGUCACCUGGUCCAGGGAUGUCGCCAUCUGGCUGCAACAACCACCGUGGACAUGUAAAGAAGAUAGACAUCCUUGGGCCGCACUCCACCCAUCCAGUGGUGGCUCCUGGUAGACAGCAGUUUGGUGUCCUAGGAAAUAUAAGCUGGCUUUUCCGAAACCUAGGCAGGGAGCAGCUAGUACCAUAGCUAAAGGAGCAAAGAGUGCUGGCGGGUGGGGGUGGGGGGUUCCCAGCAUGAUUGGACUACGGGGCAGAAUGCGCAUAAGCUGGCAGUGCUGAGCGGGGCCUGACUCUUCUUGGAGAGAAAGGUGUCACUUCCAGAUGAGGAUGACAUGUCAAGAAGUUGCUGCUAACCUAAAGUCCUCCACAGGACCUUUUGUUGUGAGCUGCAGAAACCAAACUUGAAUGAGUUUUGGUUAGGAGAGGACUUUAUUGGAAAAUGCUCUUUCCCAAGGAUCUAAUUUGGAGUGUGCUGAAAAGGUGUUCAUGGGCUUGCUCUGGCCUAAUGGGUAGAGAUGAGAAGUGAUGCAUGGGGAUCGCUAACAGGUGUGGUUGGAAUGGAAAGGAAGCACAGUUGUGCCCUGGAGCUGGGAAGAAAGCGUGCCCAGGAGACAAAAUAAUAUGGAUCCACUUGUCUGUCAUUCGUUACAGAUGCUCCAAGAGAAUGGGUUAAAACAAUUGUAAGUUGAACGUGAAGCCCUGCGACAAUCAUCAUGUCAUGUUAGGUUUCCCGGCUUCCAGGAUGUCUCACACGGAACCUGCCAUGCUGGGGUAGGUGUGGUCAUCCGUGCAGGCCUCGCUCUUCCUGGCUUGUCCCUGCCCUCACUCAGUAACCAGGGACCCGUUUCCAGGUCAGCCUGCUUCUCCUGCUCAGCUGCCCCUGGAGGACCUGAGCAUGCCAUACUCGCCGGGACACUGCCAGCACCCACUUCAGAGAAAGGCAAGCGGUCAGAUGUUCCUGCACCUUCCGAGGUGCUGCUGCUUCGCUUUGAGUUUUGCUGCUUGACCCUCACUGCCCUGCAUAAGAUGAUGCUAGAAAGGACAGGUGGCUCCUUGUCCUCAGUGGCCGCAGAGCUAAAUCAGUCCUCUUAGCCACAUCCAUCUGCUCCUGCCCUGCAACUUCUCUCCGUCUUCCCGGCCCCACAAGGCUGAAGGAUAGAAUGUGGGCUGGAGAUCUUUUCUUGCUUGAAAUGAACCGUGGGCAGUGGAGUCUCGGGGGCACCUUGUUAGAUUGCUGGACUCUGAGUCCAGCUGACAGGGGAACUCUGUGGGCUUACGAUCUGGAUCUGCAGCACCGUGGUGGAGUUUUCAUUUCCCCUUCCUCUCUCUUCCUUUUCCCUCUUCUCCGACAUGACACCAGGGAUGCAUUUCUGCCUUUCCUCUCUCAGGACACUUCUUCAGGAAUUCCUACUGGCCUACAGGAGAAAGUGACUGGAGGGAAACACUGCAGCUAACAAGUUUCUGCAGCAGUUCAGGAGAGAAAAUGAGGACUCAUAGAAGCACAUUGCAAUGAGAAUGGAAGGAGAAGGUUGGAGGGACUCACAGCUGAGAGUUUGCCUUGAAUCUCAGAGAAGACUUUAGACUUGGAAUUUUCAGCAAUGGUGAAUCUGUUAAAAUUUUGACUCAUAGAGAUGGGCUAAAUGCAUUGUGCAUAAAGAGAUGCACAUGAGUCUUUUGGGGGCCAAUGGCAGAAUGUUAUGGUUUAGAUCUAGAAUUCUCCCUCAAAAGGCUCAUAAGUUCAGAGGUGAGGCUUUUGAAAGUGAUUGGAUCAUGGGUUUAUCAGUUAGGGUUCUCUAGAGGGACUGAUUUAAUAUAGUAAUAUAGAUUAUAAUGAAGGAUUUACAGGGUAGGCUUACAGUGACCACCUACGGAAUCAGGGUGGGAGAAUAUGAAAUGGCUAUCUGCAUGCUGGAGCUGGAAGAUCCAGUCAAAGGUCAAAAGCCUGGAGUUCACUGCAGAGUCAGGUGCAGGUCUGUGACCAAGAGCUGAAGCAUCUGCUUUGGAAGGCUGGAGUCUGUGCCAGAGGCUAGAGGGACCUGGAGAUGAAUGUCCAAAGAGGAGGCAAAGAGCAGAACUCCUUCAUAGAAGAAAACAGAUGAUUCCCUUCUUUCCCUUCUUAUUCCAUCCAGGCCACAAGCUUAUCAGUUGAUGUCACCCACAUCCGGGAUGGGUCUUCCUUCCUCAGUUUGCAGCCUGCAUGUCAAUAAUCCACAGACACACUGGAGCUUUACUAAUCUGCUGGGCUGUUCUUAGGUCAAGUUGACAAAUCACAGUUAACAAUCACAACAGGGAUACUUACUCACCUGCACACUGAUCCACCGAGGACUUCAGAGCUGAGUGUGCUGUUAGGCAGUAGAGUCUGGACAGAGCAGGAGGGAGGGUCACUAGGGGCAGACUCGUAAGGGACCCGGGCUCCUCCCUUCACUCUCUGCUUCCGGGCCACCAUGAUAGGACACAAGAAGCUCUCUUCCUUCAGGCUCCUUGACCAGACUGUUUUUUCAAUGCGUGGACUAAGAUCUCUGUAAGUGUGAGCCCAAAUAACCCCCUCCUCCUUUAAGCUUUGGGUGUUGUAUACUGUGUCUUACUGGGAAUGUGACAAAGACAAGGGAAUAGUGUCUACUGUUAGCUGGGAUGGGAGAAGUUUGUCAUUUUUGCUGCUGCCUAGUGCUUUCGUUUUUAUCUCCAGCCACUCUGUUAUAGAGUGGUCUUAUCAGCGAGAGCCCUUAUCUGAUGCUGCUAUUCUGUAGAGUCACAAAGGAGAGACUCAGCACCUAGCUGGUGGCCACAGUUAUCUGUGGUCAGGGCUCUCUUCUUUCUUACUACUUUAAAAAAUUUUUUUAUUUUUAUGAGUUUCUGUUUGCAGUACUAAUGAUCCCAUUCAUCAUGGAGAAUUGGUACAUGUGCAUAAUACAUCUUAAUUUUUUUUUACAUCCCCUUCUCUUCCCUCCCCUUGCAGAAUUGAAAAUGAUGUUUUCUUCCUGCUUAAUUGGGUACUUUCCACAUCCAUUCUUAAAUGAAGCCUCAUACUUUUAUCCAAAACUUGGCAGUUAUUUUUCUAAUUAUAAAUGCAAAGCUCUUUCUUUUGGAUUUGAUUUUCUUACCCAAAAUCUGACUUAGAGGAACAGGAGUUUGGGGCAGAAACAGAACUGUAUACCAUAGACUUGGUUAGAGUCUUUGAUAAUGGAGAUCUGCCUUCCAGUUAAGAGAGAAAACACCCUUAUUAGACAAGGGAUGAGAGCUUUUCUUUGAGGAAAGAUUUAUUUACUUAUUUCCAUGGAUACAGUUGUGUUUCUUCAAGUCUGAAGAAAACAAUCUAGGAAAAGCUGCAAAAUGCAGAGCGCCCAUGAUGAGACACGAGCUUGCAGAAAUCUGAUUUCCUUGCUGACCCAUUUCUCCCUCCAGCGACAAUUAGGGAUCCUUUCACAAUAAGACCAGAGGGUUCCAAUGUCUUUUAAAUUGAAGUUGUUUUCUUUAACCCCAUUAGCCAUACUGCAGGGAACGCUGAUUCUUCUCCUGGGCCAUUUCUUCUGCUGUGUAAAUUUCUAAUCAUUUACACCCACACCCAUACCCACACACUGCCCAGACUGAAAGCUCUUUGGAGUCUGCAGAAGUGAAGCAGACCAGAUUUGUCUUCAUCCCCAUGAUGCUGAGGGAGCAGAGGAUGGCUGUUUCCCUUAGUAACACCCACUUGUCCCCAUAGCACGGUCCCCAGGGCAGUACUUGUAGGCUGGCAGAUUGCUGCAUUUAUGGAAGACACAGUCACUCUGAGAUCCAAUUGUGAUUUUUUUUAUGGUUUAAACAUACUUUAUUUGUAUGUAUAAAAUGCUCUGUGUAGUUGACCCCAACAUUGUUCACACUGACUUCAAGAGUUCUGUUUUCCAUGUUCAAGUUGCUCAGUUGCUGCUGUUGGUUUGUUUUCUUUCAGGAUCAAGGUGGGUGCUUUCAUAUAAAAUCUUAUUUUUUAUUCCUUCUCUGGCAUUUCUUUGCUGGAUUCUUUCCUUUGCACAAUUAUACCUGCAAUGGAACCAACAUCCUAAAGUCACCAUGAUAAAUCCUCCUACACCAACAUCACACGAUCUUCUAAUUCUGCCUUCCUCUUCCCAGGUUUGCCUGGCUCCGGUGCAGCAGCCACGAUCAGAAGUCCGCCAUUCCUGGGAGAGAGGCAGAGGUGCUUGUGUGAUCCGACAAAUCCAGCCUGUUCUGAAGCAGCAUUUGUAGACUGUGAAAAGAACACCAUCCUGGUCAAGCCAAGGCCCUUUGUCACACUUGAAGCAGGGAAUACCCUCUACCACCUUUUCCACACCUUGAGUUUCCCUUGAGCCAUGGUGCAAACCCUCACAUUUUUCACUCAUCUUAGGGCGGACUGAUUCCUGUAGGGAUUCUUGGGGCCCUGAAGAUAGGCAGAGGCUACCUUCUUCUCUGCAGCUGACUCUGGAUUUCAGGCAUGGGCGUAGGGAAGUAGAUCAGCAGGUGGAGGGGGCCACCGAGUCACAGACGGUGGGCUUUUCCACCUUCUGCAAGUGACCCACACGCUGCUUUCAGGUGAAGCCUGAGUAUUGCAUUGCUUUCAGGAAGACCAAAUCCCUGUCCCUGCAGCACCCCAAGCACACGGUGCCCUGUGUUUAGCAGGUGUUCCAAGGGGGCUGAGUACUCCAGGAAGCAAUUGGUGAACAACCAGGCCUGAAGGCCUAAUAGUGGGCACUGUUACUUUUCUGAUCCUCUAAUUUCUCCCAACUGUGGCAGUCUCUACACUCUAUGUUAGCUUUUCCAUCUUCUGAGGUGUUGUUUAUAUAAUCAAUCCCUACCUCAGGGAAAUGUGUUAAGCCUGGUUUCUCUGGUGAUUCUUUUGCAAGGCUGCCUUUUUCAGAACAUGCACGGCUGGCUUCAGUUAUCACUGGAUCCUGUUGUUGUUUGGGUUGUUUUCUUUUUCUUUUUUCCCAUUAAGUUUACUGGUACAUUUUAGGUAUAAAAUACAGUUACAUUCAUCAUCUGGAUCUUGUACCUUUACAUGAGUAUCUUGGUUCUUAUUUUUUCCCCUUUC